AUACGGAGGAUGCAAGCGUUAUCCGGAUUUAUUGGGUUUAAAGGGUGCGUAGGCGGUUUGCUAAGCGGGAGGUGAAAUGCCGGCGCUCAACGUCGGAAGUGCCUCCCGAACUGGUGGACUUGAAUGACUCUGCCGUGGGAGGAAUGUGUAGUGUAGCGGUGAAAUGCUUAGAGAUUACACAGAACACCGAUUGCGAAGGCAUCUCACGAAGGGUUGAUUGACGCUGAGGCACGAAAGCGUGGGGACCAAACAGGAUUAGAUACCCUGGCAGUCCACGCAGUAAACGAUGAUGGCUAACCGCUGGGCUUAUCAGUUCAGUGGCCAAGCGAAAGCGAUAAGCCAUCCACCUGGGGAGUACGACCGCAAGGUUGAAACUCAAAUGAAUUGACGGGG
rnacentral:rRNA from 1 species